rnacentral:lncRNA from 1 species
AGAAGAUGUGGUAAAGAGACAUCCUGGUUGUAACUCUCCAGAGUCUUUGCCAUCCUCAAGGAGGGGUGCUAUGUGGUAGCUUGGUCUUCUGUGGACAGUGGGUCUCCUACUAGACAGUAGGAGGAGGCCAACCCCAAGGGAAGCCGUGCCACAGUGAUGACUGAAAUGGGACCAAUCCCGAUGACCAGCCCUGAAGGUCAGACACCUGCAGAAGCUGAAGAGUGUGGAGCACCUGCUGGCCUUUCCCGAUAAAGCCACACGGGACUCAGCCUGGGGCAGCCUCUAACUCCAGCAUCCUUUCAAUGUAAGACCUGCUAAGCCCCAGGAUCCCCAGAUGCUCAGUGUACACAUCCUUCAUGACUCUCACUGGCAAAAGAUAUGGAAAGAGACAGUCACUGAUGGAUGGAAAGGAACUGUGUAAGUGUAAACACGUAACGGGAAGUCGUGCGCCUCUCUUAAUUGCCCGACACAAUUCCCACUACGUGCAUAAACUGCAGUUCCCAUUAACAGCACCAUGAAUAAUAAUCAGUUUACUUUCUGACUCGUAUCUAAAUAUACCUUCUAUAUGAUUUCAUCUUUUAUGCAGCUGUUUAGAAGCAGAACAUCUAAUUACAGUUCCUAUUAGUCAACAUUAAUUUUUUUUCUCCCUUUUGCCACAGAGCAUAUGUAAUGACUGAUUUUCUAAAAACAGAAUUUUUUUAGCAUAUGGAACAAAUUGUGUUAUUAUUAAUGCAUUCCCAGAUGACUCUGCAUUUCAAUUCCCUUAAUUAUUUAGUCAUUGCUGAUUAUGUCUUUUUAACAUUCAUUAUCCCAUCUCUUGCAACACAGGCAGUUUAUUCAUUAAGUGUCAAAAUGGAAAGCUUGACCUCC